rnacentral:rRNA from 1 species
UACGAAGGGGGCUAGCGUUGCUCGGAAUCACUGGGCGUAAAGCGCACGUAGGCGGCUUCUUAAGUCAGGGGUGAAAUCCUGGAGCUCAACUCCAGAACUGCCUUUGAUACUGGGAGGCUCGAGUCCGGGAGAGGUGAGUGGAACUGCGAGUGUAGAGGUGAAAUUGGUAGAUAUUCGGAAGAACACCAGUGGCGAAGGCGGCUCACUGGCCCGGUACUGACGCUGAGGUGCGAAAGCGUGGGGAGCAAACAGG